rnacentral:lncRNA from 1 species
UUUAUUGCUGGUUAUUUUGAAUUUAGACUCAUUAGAAUCUAUCUCUUUUUGAUCUUUUCAAAGAAGGAGAAGUUGUAAUAUGAACAUAUAUUUAAUUUAUGCAUUUUAAUGUAAACUUGAUAUGGUGCAAUGUUUCAGGAGGACCACGAAGGAAUGCCUUGAUCACACUUUACUUUAUUCUCAUGUCGACUCAAUUAAAAUGUAAGUUUGCUAAGCAUAAAAAAGGGGGAGACUUAAGUUGUUAUGCCCUUUAGGGAUUUGGUUUUGUU